CAUUCAAAUUUCUUCCCUAUCAACUUUCGAUGCGAGGGUCUUGUCCUCGCAUGGUUGCAACGGGUAACGGAGGGUUAGGGCUCGACCCCGGAGAAGGAGCCUGAGAAACGGCUACUACAUCCAAGGAAGGCAGCAGGCGCGCAAAUUACCCAAUCCCGACACGGGGAGGUAGUGACAAUAAAUACUGAUACAGGGCUCUUUUGGGUCUUGUAAUCGGAAUGAGUACAAUUUAAAUCCCUUAACGAGGAACAAUUGGAGGGCAAGUCUGGUGCCANCAGCCGCGGUAAUUCCAGCUCCAAUAGCGUAUAUUAAAGUUGUUGUGGUUAAAAAGCUCGUAGUCNAACCUUGGGCCUGGCUGGCCGGUCCCCCUCACCGGGUGCACUGA
rnacentral:rRNA from 1 species